rnacentral:tRNA from 1 species
GUGGCUUAGUGGUAGAGUACUUGCCUAACAUGCAUGAAGCCCUGGGUUCGAUUCCUCGAUAACACA